GUGGGGAAUCUUGCGCAAUGGGCGAAAGCCUGACGCAGCCAUGCCGCGUGAAUGAUGAAGGUCUUAGGAUUGUAAAAUUCUUUCACCGGGGACGAUAAUGACGGUACCCGGAGAAGAAGCACCGGCUAACUCUGUGCCAGCAGCCGCGGUAAUACGAAGGGGGCUAGCGUUGCUCGGAAUUACUGGGCGUAAAGGGCGCGUAGGCGGACAGUUUAGUCAGAGGUGAAAGCCCAGGGCUCAACCUGGGAAUUGCCUUUGAUACUGGCUGUCUUGAGUACGGGAGAGGUGAGUGGAACUCCGAGUGUAGAGGUGAAAUUCGUAGAUAUUCGGAAGAACACCAGUGGCGAAGGCGACUCACUGGCCCGUUACUGACGCUGAGGCGCGAAAGCGUGGGGAGCAAACAGGAUUAGAAACCCCGGUAGUCC
rnacentral:rRNA from 1 species